AUUGAACGCUGGCGGCAGGCCUAACACAUGCAAGUCGAACGGUAACAGGAAACAGCUUGCUGUUUCGCUGACGAGUGGCGGACGGGUGAGUAAUGUCUGGGAAACUGCCUGAUGGAGGGGGAUAACUACUGGAAACGGUAGCUAAUACCGCAUAACGUCGCAAGACCAAAGAGGGGGACCUUCGGGCCUCUUGCCAUCGGAUGUGCCCAGAUGGGAUUAGCUAGUAGGUGGGGUAACGGCUCACCUAGGCGACGAUCCCUAGCUGGUCUGAGAGGAUGACCAGCCACACUGGAACGGAGACACGGUCCAGACUCCUACGGGAGGCAGCAGGGGGGAAUAUUGCACAAUGGGCGCAAGCCUGAUGCAGCCAUGCCGCGUGUAUGAAGAAGGCCUUCGGGUUGUAAAGUACUUUCAGCGGGGAGGAAGGGAGUAAAGUUAAUACCUUUGCUCAUUGACGUUACCCGCAGAAGAAGCACCGGCUAACUCCGUGCCAGCAGCCGCCGUAA
rnacentral:rRNA from 1 species